rnacentral:tRNA from 9 species
AGUGAAGUCAGCUAAUUAAGCUCUUGGGCCCAUACCCCGAAAAUGUCGGUUACAAACCUUCCUUCACUA